AGGAGACGUAGGGGAGAGUGCUUCGUCAUAACUGGAAUUAUCUGAACCCCGGCUGGAAUCCUCUUGACCCUACAGAGAAAACAGCAAAACAGGUGGACCUGGAAAUACUCACCGGCAGAAGGACUGUCCCCUCCCAAGGGGCCACUUGACUGACUUUCACUCAGCCCUGUUGGGAGGCCAGUCUGUAGUGGCUUCUCAGACUCCUUUAAUAACUGAGAACAACCCACCUGUCCCAGGAAAAAGCACACAGAAGAAUCUGGAAACACAAUCAUGCCAGAUGCCUACCAAAGUUUCCCUACAUGGCACUGCCCUCACCGGGAAAGGUUCCGCUCCUUCUUGGAUGACAAAGCCCUCAAUGAU